GCUGGUUAUAGGCAUUUAUUGAAUUUAUUCAUUUAUUGAUUUGACACACUUCCCCACUCCAAUCUAGCACAUGAUACAAUCUGGGUAGGCCAGGCGCUGACACAGGAAAUGAUGGGAACCCACAGCAGGGGUGGGUGCUAGUAAACCUGAUCCACAUUCCCCCCAUCCCUGCUCAUUUCCCAGACCCUCAGCCAAGCUCCCCAGCUCCCCCUUCCCAGUUCCUCCCCUCCCCCCUGCCUGCUACCACACACACUUCCACAUAACCCCUGUAGUCAGGGAAGGGGAAGAAGGGCAGGGACAGCUGUCAGGGGCCUUAAACAGGGAGGUCUCUGUACCUAACUUUACCACCCUAAAUCCUUCCCUCCUUCUCUUCUCCCCCCUCCGGCCCCCUCCCAGGCCCCAAGCUAAUUCCAGGCCUUCAAUUCUUUCUCCCUCAGUAUAGCACAAACCCACAUUGGGGCAUACAAGAGUGUGGCUGUACCCCAAUACCACACUCUCCCAGGCACAAGUUGACAGACAAGGGAACAUAGUUUAGGUUUUUCCCUGGGGAAAACUCCAACCUAUUUAUGCAUAGAUCCUUCUCUAGACCUGGUCCAAAUGGGAGCUCUUAUCCAUCCAUGUUCACUAUUGCUCCCCACUUCUCCCCAACUUCCCCAUGUCUCCUGUAGUAUUGUCUGUAGUGUUUGUAUCAUGUCACUAUGACAAAGCCUUCAGAAAGAAAGAAAAAGAAAAAGAAAAAAAAGCACUCUCCCCAAUCACUAGCACCUUGCCACUGUUAAAAAUCUCUAUAUUUGUGUUUAUAAUUCUUUAAAAGUUUAUAAAAAGCCUUUCUGUUAUCUGUAGCCUUCCAAAGGUGAUUGGCCUGGUGAGCCACUCCAGUGCUCAGACCUUGGCCCUUCUAGGUCCCCUGUUCCCCCCACCCACCCCACACCACUGGCCCAAGGGGCCGCUGCAUAAAAUCUCCAGGCUCAACCUUGCCUGGCCCAGCUCAGAUAAGACUCUCUACAAAAAAUUCCUGCUCCCAAAGGCAGGGGUAAGGCCACUGGUGACUUCACAUUUCCAACAGCAUUGCUGGCCCCUGCUACAAAGCCUAGGAGUGGGUAUGGGGGGAAGCUGAGGAUGGCUCCUGAGAAAGGGCCUUACCCCCUAAUUGGCACAGUGAGAAUAAACCCUUUUCCCUUUCCCCCUCCCA
rnacentral:lncRNA from 1 species